GACGAACGCUGGCGGCGUGCCUAAUACAUGCAAGUAGAACGCACAGUUUAUACCGUAGCUUGCUACACCAUAGACUGUGAGUUGCGAACGGGUGAGUAACGCGUAGGUAACCUGCCUGGUAGCGGGGGAUAACUAUUGGAAACGAUAGCUAAUACCGCAUAAUAUUAAUUAUUGCAUGAUAAUUAAUUGAAAGGUGCAAUUGCACCACUACCAGAUGGACCUGCGUUGUAUUAGCUAGUAGGUGAGGUAACGGCUCACCUAGGCGACGAUACAUAGCCGACCUGAGAGGGUGAUCGGCCACACUGGGACUGAGACACGGCCCAGACGCCUACGGGAGGCAGCAGUAGGGAAUCUUCGGCAAUGGACGAAAGUCUGACCGAGCAACGCCGCGUGAGUGAAGAAGGUUUUCGGAUCGUAAAGCUCGGUUGUAAGAGAAGAACGGGUGUGAGAGUGGAAAGUUCACACUGUGACGGUAUCUUACCAGAAAGGGACGGCUAACUACGUG
rnacentral:rRNA from 1 species